rnacentral:rRNA from 1 species
AUUGAAAGCUGGCGGCCGGCUUAACACAUGCCAGUCGAGCGAGCGGCGGACGGGUGAGUAAUCUCUGGCAAACUGCCUGAAGGAGGGGGAUCACUACUGGAAACGGUAGCUAAUACCGUCUACCAUCAGUUGUCCCCAGAGCGGAUUAGCUAGAAGGUGGGGUAAUGGCUCAUCCAGGCGACGAUCCCUAGCUGGUCAGAGAGGAUGACCAGCGACAAGGGAACUGAGACAUGGUCCAGACUCCGACGGGAGGCAGCAUUGGGGAAUAUUGCACAAUGGGAGCGAGCCUGAUGCAGCCAUGCCGCGUGUGUGAAGAAGGCCUGCGGGUUGUAAAGCACUUGCAGCGAGGAGGCGUUGCUCGCAGAAGAAGCACCGGCUAACUCCGUGCCAGCAGCCGCGGUAAUAC